rnacentral:rRNA from 1 species
GACGAACGCUGGCGGCGUGCUUAACACAUGCAAGUCGAACGGAAAGGCCCCCACCUUGGUGGGGGUGCUCGAGUGGCGAACGGGUGAGUAACACGUGGGUGAUCUGCCCUGUACUUCGGGAUAAGCUUGGGAAACUGGGUCUAAUACCGGAUAGGACCAUGGUUUAGUGUCUCAUGGUGGAAAGAUUAUUGUUUUGGUGCAGGAUGAGCUCGCGGCCUAUCAGCUUGUUGGUGGGGUAAUGGCCUACCAAGGCGUCGACGGGUAGCCGGCCUGAGAGGGUGGACGGCCACAUUGGGACUGAGAUACGGCCCAGACUCCUACGGGAGGCAGCAGUGGGGAAUAUUGCACAAUGGGCGCAAGCCUGAUGCAGCGACGCCGCGUGGGGGAUGACGGCCUUCGGGUUGUAAACUCCUUUCGUUAG